GACGAACCGUGCGAACGUUGUUCGGAAUCACUGGGCUUAAAGGGCGCGUAGGCGGCUUGCCAAGUCAGGGGUGAAAUCCUGCAGCUUAACUGUAGAAGGGCCUUUGAUACUGGCGAGCUCGAGGGAGGUAGGGGUAUGUGGAACUUCCGGUGGAGCGGUGAAAUGCGUUGAUAUCGGAAGGAACGCCGGUGGCGAAAGCGACGUACUGGACCUCUUCUGACGCUGAGGCGCGAAGGCUAUGGGAGCAAACGGG
rnacentral:rRNA from 1 species